AAUCUCUUGGUAUGGCGAUGAAAAGAGACAUGCCCAGUGUCAAAAUCAGUUUAUCUGACUUGUAGGCUGUAGGGGAUUGCCAACUUGGGGGCAGGUGCAAGUCUCUUGGAAAGGAGCACCAGCGAGGGUCAGGGUCCUGCCUGUCACCUGUCAUCCCUUGUAGACGGUUUGCCCAAAAAGAGUCGUGUUCUUCUGGAAUAGAGCACCAAUUGGGUGGUACUCUGUGCCCAAGGAGCAUUACGUGCUUGAGACCAAUAGCGAACAAGUACCAUGAGGGAAGGGUGAAAAGGACUUUGGAAAGAGGGUUAAGAGGGCGUGAAGCUGCUGGAAGGGAAGUAGAUUGAAUCUCUCCUUGUGGUAAGAUUGCGGGUUGCAGUCUCUGUCUGGAAUGCUGCCAUCUGUGCCUCUUGCCGCUUGGUUGGGCUUGGCGUUCUGCUGAGAAAUGUGGUGAGGGCUGGCUGAAGGGUUGUAACCUGAACCAUCCUCUUGCUUGCUCUUGGCAAACCGCUUGUGCUCGACCAAACAGUUCAAUCUUACCCGUCUUGAAACACGGACCAAGGAGUCUWAUGCGUGUGCAGUGUGCAGGAUCUAAACCUGACAGCAUAACGAAUGUUACUUGCUGGGAUUCUUGCACCAGCAGCCAACUGACACUUGGGAGAUGUUUGCGUGUGAGCACACUUGCUAGGACCCGAAAGGUGGUGAACUAUGCCUGAGAAGGGUGACGUCAGGGGAAACUCUGAUGGAAGCUCGUAGCGCUACUGACGUGCAAAUCGUUCGUCUGACUUGGGUAUAGGGGCGAAAGACUAAUCGAACCAUCUAGUAGCUGGUUCCCUCCGAAGUUUCCCUCAGGAUAGCUGGAGCAGAAUAGUUUUAUCAGGUAAAGCGAAUGAUUCGAGGCAUUGGGGGUAUGUUGCCCUUGACCCACUCUCAAACUUUUAAUGGGUAAGCUCCACUGCGUUGCCUAAACGACGCAGCGGGAGGAAUAACAGCUCCACGUGGGCCAUUUUUGGUAAGCAGAACUGGCGAUGAGGGAUGAACCUAGCAUUGGGGUAAAGUGCUCGACUGCUCGCUCAUGUGACACCACAAAGGGUGUUGGUUCAUACUGACAGCAGGACGGUGGUCAUGGAAGUUGAAAUCCGCUAAGGAGUGUGUAACAACUCACCUGCCGAAUGGACUAGCCCCGAAAAUGGAUGGCGCUGAAGCGGGUGACUGAUGCCCAAUCAUUGUUGCAAUCUCUGUAACCUUGAGUAGGAGGGCAUGGUGGUUGCAGUGCAGCCCACUCGU
rnacentral:rRNA from 1 species